AUUUUAUUUUCAUUUCAAACAUACAAUCUACUUGUAUAUUUCCUAUUAGUAUUAACUAUAAUAAUUUAUUUAUAAAUUGUUGUUUCUUUGAUUUUAAAUACUCCAAUUGUUUUAUUGCGAUUAAUAAAUCGUGAUUAAGUAGACCUCGCACCACAAAACAUGACUCAUUGUAGUAUAAUAUUAUAUAGGUACCCAAUGGAUUUGUAAUCGAGUUAACGUAGCCAUUUUUAUUAGGUAUUAAUCUGGUUUGUUUU